UGCUCACCAAAUUGCGGUUUGCUCUGAUGGAAGGAUUGUUGAACUGGGUACCCAUUUUGAUUUACUAGCUAUGAAAGGGAUUAGAUUUGAUGGGUCAAUGGCGGACAUGGGUGAAGCGGGGAAGAUGGAGAACGGUGAGAUGGUUGUGAAGACAAGCUUUACGCGUACCGUGGGUUGGGAGCAUCAAGGAAGCUUUGGAGGAGUUGAAGCUCAAUCCUCUCCAUCUUCUCAUGGGAUGAUAAGAUUUCGGGUGCACCUCAUUAUGCAUAUAGAGUUGACUGUUGACGGAUAAAGAUCAUCGGGCAUCACACUUCCAAAUCUCUGCCAAUUGAGAAUGGUUGUCUCCCCUAUUGUUGCUUGUAGAGGAUCAUCGGGCACAGCAGUUUCAAAUCUCUUGCCAUUGUGAGUGUUU